AGGUUCUUUAAAUUUAAAAAAUUUGGCGGUGAUUUAGUCUAGUUAGAGGAACCUGUUUUUUAAUCGAUACACCACGUAGAAUCUUACUAAUUUUUAUUUAGUUUGUAUACCAUCAUUGGCAGAUAAUUUUAAUAAAGGAUUAAUUAUUAAUUAUAAAUGAUUAUGUAAAUUAGAUCAAGGUGCGGCUAAUAAAUUAGUUAAAAUGGGUUACAAUAAAUUUUAUUUAAAUGGAUUAUAUUAUGAAAUUAGUUUAUAAAGGGGGAUUUAAUAGUAAUAUAAGUUUAAUAAGCUUAUGGA
rnacentral:rRNA from 1 species